UACGAAGGGGACUAGCGUUGUUCGGAAUCACUGGGCGUAAAGCGCACGUAGGCGGAUUCGUAAGUCAGGGGUGAAAUCCCGGGGCUCAACCUCGGAACUGCCUUUGAUACUGACAAUCUCGAGUCCGAUAGAGGUGGGUGGAAUUCCUAGUGUAGAGGUGAAAUUCGUAGAUAUUAGGAAGAACACCGGUGGCGAAGGCGGCCCACUGGAUCGGUACUGACGCUGAGGUGCGAAAGCGUGGGGAGCAAACAGG
rnacentral:rRNA from 1 species